AGAAGAAAGAGAGAAAGGAAGCAGACAGAUGUGGGCAUGGUGGUACACACCUUAAAGUCCAGCACUCCGGAGGAAGAGGGAUGAGAACAUCUGUUGGUUCAAUGCCAAAUAGCAAGGAUUUCAGAGUUUUCUUGGGCCUCUCCAACUCUACAGAGAUGCAGCCUCUUCACCUCACACCUAGCCUGAGAAUUUCAUAUGAUGAAAUGCACGCAGGGGGCUCUACGAAGAUAAAACAGAGAGCAACUAAAAGUUAUUUCUCCCAUGAAAACAGUCCCCUCCUUCACAUGACGGAGAAUAUUUGACACACUCCAGGUAUCCACAAAUAAUCUCAGUCCGAGAACACCCAACAGAAUGGAGGGUCCGCGAGCCAGCCGGACCUACUACAAACUUGGAAAAAAAUAAAGAGCAAGAGUGCUAAUAUGAAAAAAAAAAUACUUCACUCCACACAAAUACAAGAAGUAGAAAGGUUCAUGGAGCCCUGGCAUUGUAACAUUCGGGAGAUGUUGACAUACGGUUAGUUUGGUAGCUCUCUCUGUACCUGUCCUCAUA